UCAGCCGCGUAGGAUAGGAUACAGAAAUACAGCAGAGAAAAUAUCGGUUUACCAGCCACUUGCAGAAAUUCUUAAAGUUACAGAAAGAGACGAUUGUUACGACAAGUCAGAGAUGGCGGACCCGCUUCGAAUCAUCUACGGAUUGCUAUUGUUUAUGUAUCUAAAAAUGGAUCCAGAACACAAAGACUAAGUCUAUGAGGAAAAUAAAGUUUUAGAUCAACGACUAAAAAUUUUCAAGAACAGAUAAAAUAUGAGAUAGAGAUUAUGAUAGAACUGGUAUGAAAGGUGACAGUAGAACAUUGAAAUAAUUUGAAAGAAACAAGUUGGCAAAGAUAUAUAUCACCUGCAUAGGAAGAGCAAUGGAAAAUAACAUUGAAGCAGAAUUAUGAAACAGUUAUUUUAAAAAAAACAUUAAAUUGAGAGAGAGAAAAACUCAUUUUUUUACUUUUUAAUGCUGUUCAUUCUUAAGAUUACUGUUUAUUGUAUUUCGAUGGAAGUUAUUGCAGUUGAUAAGAAGAUAGAACAAAAAUUUGAGUUCUUCAGCUUGUUUUAUGCAGUCAAUAAAAAUUAAUUUUGAAAAGCAAACCAUAUAUGUUCAAAAAUCAAAAAGGUUAAUUAUGUACCAAAUGACCUCCGUCAGACAUUAAUCAGUCUGUUGGAAAUCUUUCUUUAAAUUUUUAUGCUUAUUUUACAAAAUGUACCUUUGUUUGUAUGUCUGUAAGAUUCAAAUCAAUCAGAGAUUUCUGAGGAACUACAAACCAAGAGUUUCUGAAAGU